GGGAAGUCGUGUAAAAUGCCAGCUCUAUAGAGAGGGCCUAAACCCUUGCAGGGCUCUUGCACCACACAGGAGGAGUAAUGGCUGCAUGCAACUCUUCCUUCCAGAUGCUGUACCGUGUGGAAGAUAUUCCUAAUAUCAUCAAGUUUUUCCACAGUUGCCUCGACCACCAGGGUAAACUCCUGAUCAUAAUUUUGGCAGCUUGUGGAAGAAGUACAGGCACUGCUUGCCUUCAACCGACAGCGGCCACUACAUCACCUCUGAUGGCAUCACAGCUGUUUUGAGGAGGCUCAGCAUUCAGUACCNNNNNNNNNNUUUUUCCUUCAAUAUUUGCCUAGAAAAAUUUGCUGAGGUUUGUAUCAGGAAUUAAGAAAAUAUUUGGGCACCCCAUGCAUUUUUCAUGAAUAAUUCAUGAAUAAUUUUUCCAUCAGAGUAACAUUUUUUCAAGUAUUUGUAUUUUCUUUGCAGGUAAAAGAAUAAGCGUAAAGCCAUCCCAUUUAUGCCCUUUAUUUUCAAGCAUUCCAGAGAAAUAUACAGUCAUGAUGAAAGAAAGGUUGAGAAAUUUCAGCUCGAGCAACGAAAAUUUGGGGCAAGUUCUUAAACAUAGAAAAAGGAGAUUUAGAAUCCAAACAGUUCAAAAACCUUAAUGAUGGACAUUUCUCCUGUUAUAAUCAUAUAAAUUAAAAAAGCCUUAUAAAGUGCAGCCUGCUAAGUAGCAAUAGAAAAUCCUGAGUUCUUUAAAUUUUUAUUUUAUUCCUGCAACAUUUCUCAUGUCAGAUAAAUAUUACCUGAAAAAGAAGGAAAUUGCAAUAUCUACAGAAUCUUAGGUGAUGCUGUGGUCACAGUACAGAAGGACUGUCCUGCUUAAAAUGCUUGGACAAAUGUAAAAUUAGCACUUCGCAAUGUCAUUUAAAACGGAGUAAAACCCCAGCGAAGUCUGAGUUUCAUAAGACCAGGCUCAGAAACACAGCACCAGCAUCAAAGUCAUCCUUUUCUAAAGAGUUGCAAAGUUUCUUUUCUUUUUUCCUUUUUCUUUAACAACAAAUGCAAAAGCUCUAAAUCUUCUCAGCCCUAAGUGCAGGUGGUGUCAGAUGAAGUUAACAGGAGACAAUGCUUUUAGAUGCUUAUAAAAACGUGAUUUUGUGCAUCUCUCUUCCAGGCUGUUAUUCAGUGAUGAAUGUGCAGAGGGCCUUUGUGAUGCCCAAAAAGUGACUGAGGCUCUUUGAUAAUGGCAGAAGGUGGCCUCAGAAGCCCAGCCUGUGCAUCUGAGUUGAGAUGCUCGUAGAUAAGUUCCCUGAGCAGGUCAUGUCAGUAGAUAUAAUGUGUCCUUU
rnacentral:lncRNA from 1 species